UUCAUUUCCUUAGCCGAAAGGUUUGGGUAAUCUUGUUAAACUCUGUCGUGCUGGGGAUAGAGCAUUGCAAUUAUUGCUCUUCAACGAGGAAUGCCUAGUAAGCGCAUGUCAUCAGCAUGCGUUGAUUACGUCCCUGCCCUUUGUACACACCGCCCGUCGCUACUACCGAUUGAAUGGCUCGGUGAGGCCUUCGGACUGGCCCAGGGAGGUCGGCAACGACCACCCAGGGCCGGAAAGUUGGUCAAACCCGGUCAUUUAGAGGAAGUAAAAGUCGUAACAAGGUCUCCGUAGGUGAACCUGCGGAGGGAUCAUU
rnacentral:rRNA from 1 species